rnacentral:rRNA from 1 species
GGGGAAUAUUGGACAAUGGGGGGAACCCUGAUCCAGCCAUGCCGCGUGUGUGAAGAAGGCCUUAUGGUUGUAAAGCACUUUAAGCGAGGAGGAGGAGCUCUUGGUUAAUACCCAAGAUGCUUGGACGUUACUCGCAGAAUAAGCACCGGCUAACUCUGUGCCAGCAGCCGCGGUAAUACAGAGGGUGCGAGCGUUAAUCGGAUUUACUGGGCGUAAAGCGUGCGUAGGCGGCUUUUUAAGUCGGAUGUGAAAUCCCCGAGCUUAACUUGGGAAUUGCAUUCGAUACUGGGAAGCUAGAGUAUGGGAGAGGAUGGUAGAAUUCCAGGUGUAGCGGUGAAAUGCGUAGAGAUCUGGAGGAAUACCGAUGGCGAAGGCAGCCAUCUGGCCUAAUACUGACGCUGAGGUACGAAAGCAUGGGGAGCAAAC